rnacentral:rRNA from 1 species
CAGUCGCCGCGGUAAUACGGAGGGUGCAAGCGUUAAUCGGAAUUACUGGGCGUAAAGCGUGCGUAGGCGGUUUGUUAAGUCUGCUGUGAAAUCCCCGGGCUCAACCUGGGAAUGGCAGUGGAUACUGGCAAGCUAGAGUGUGUCAGAGGAUGGUGGAAUUCCCGGUGUAGCGGUGAAAUGCGUAGAGAUCGGGAGGAACAUCAGUGGCGAAGGCGGCCAUCUGGGACAACACUGACGCUGAGGCACGAAAGCGUGGGGAGCAAACAGGAUUAGAGACCCCGGUAGUCCCUGUCUCUUAUAC